CUCAUUUUCCUUUUGUUUUUCUUAUCUGAUUUACCUUUUUAUUUUAGGUUUGGGUGUGUGUUUUGUAGAGAGUAUGGGCGACGAAAUCAUUGUUAGGGUUUCUUCCGGAUCUCUCUCUAUCUCUGUAUGUUCUCUUCCUUGAUCUAAACCCUUAGUUUUUCAUUAUCGUCUCUAAUGUGGUGUUUUGCUUCAAAUAGGAACCUUUAUUAACCUGGAGGUUUAAGGUAGCAAUGACGGCUUCGAGAGGUGGUGGUCCUGACCAGGGACCGUCCCAACCUCAGCAGCGACGGAUCAUGAGGACUCAGACAGUUGGUAAUCUCGGAGAAUCAUUCGAUAGUCAAGUUGUUCCGUCCUUGCUUGUUGAGAUUGCCCCUAUUCUCCGUGUUGCUAAUGAGGUCGGUUCUAUGCGUUCGAGAAAGCUCACAGGCUGGAUCCCACCUCCAGUGGAAGAGGUGUUCGGCAGUUUAAGACUGCACUCUUACAGCGUCUUGAAAGAGAACAUGAUCCUACACUGAUGGGCAGGGUUAAGAAAAGUGAAGCCCGUGAGAUGCAGAGCUUUUAUCAACAUUACUAUAAGAAGUAUAUUCAAGCUUUGCAAAAUGCUGCUGAUAAGGCCGACCGGUUUGUCUAAACUUACUUCAAAAUGUCAAUUAGUGUUCUCUCACUGUUUGAGAGCAUCAAAUUCAUUAACUGAUGGUUUUACUUGCUGUUAAUUCAUCAGCUGGCAAAGGCAUACCAAACUGCUAAUGUUUUGUUUGAGGUGUUGAAGGCUGUUAAUCUUACACAGUCUAUUAAGGUUGACCGAGAGAUAAUGUUUUCUCUUUGAUACAUUUAUCUUUUUUCCCAUCUCCUGUGCAACGCUACAAUGAUGUUAGUUGUUUUUUCGGAUUUUGGAAGCUCAAGACAAGGUUGCAGAAAAGACACAGUUGUAUGUCCAUUAUAAUAUCCUACCUCUCGAUCCUGACGGUGCAAAUCAAGCGAUUAUUUGAUAUCCUGAGAUUAUGAGAUAUGAUAUCCUGAGCUACUCCCCUUCACCAAACAAAACCGUCAAUCUAAUUUUAUUUCUGAGAAUUAAGGCAAUCAUGAUCUCGAGCCAGGAACGUCAGAGGUUCUGCAACUCCGAGAAGUGGAAGACAGAAGUGUAUGGAGAUGAGGUUCUUAUUAUAGUUGAAGGAACUGCUCUGAGUCACACUGAUACUCUCCACCACCUGUCUUUAUCCCUUGCCAUUGGUAUCCAGUGCUCCAUAACCAUCGAAUCCAUCGUUCAUGUCUGUCACUCACCGGAAAGUCGGAAACCAGAUCUAUGCUCUUCUUUCUGGAGGAGGAUAUGCAAAGAAAGUUGUUGUACCCUUUGGAAAAAUCCUUCCAAUCCUGCAGGAUUAUUCGUAAAAGAUGCAGCCUUUUUCCCUAAAGUGGAGCUUGGUUUCCCUGAAUACGAACACGGCUUAUGAAUUCACAUUAUCUUCUUAGAUAUUCAAUUAUAGUUCGCGGCCUAACUACAUGUGAGUGAGAAUGAGUGGUUCGGGUAGAAAACGUGUUUUGAUAUGGGAUUCCUAGGAAGAAGAUAUUCAUCAUCUUAGUGGAAAUGAAUAUGUUGGGAAGUCAGCUUCUUAUAUUCGUAACAAGAUCCCGUCCAUGUUUCUAUCCAGAGGGUAAUGGUUGGGAGCCAACAUGAGAUCUGCUCUGGAUGAUAUGAUUAGGACAGUGAACAUCUGCAUCUAGACAACAUUCAGUAAAAGCUUGGCCUCCCAAAAGCAAUGAUGAUGGUCAUGCUGCCAUGAUUUUUUACUAUGAUGCUAUCAAAAUCUUCUGAGCAAGAGGAAAAUAGGCAAUUGUAUUUCCGCCAGUCACCUUUGAGGGACAGGCCUAGAACCCGUAGGAGGGCCGUAGCCCAUUGCAGAAGUUAGACGAGAUACUGGAGGAUCCUAUGACAACGCAAGACGGGGUCAGGAGAGAAAUUGAUGGUAGAUGUAAUAGAGAUGGUGACUAUGACUUGGAAGCUAAGAAUAUAAAGACGAGUAAAGAUUUAUAGUAGAAAACUUCUUUAUCCUAAAUAAUUGUAUUGUACCGUGCAUAUUCAAUAAAACUAGAAACAAUAGCUUAGAGCAUUUAAUUGAUGUAAAACUAAAGGAUAUGUUUACAGCUAUUGUUCUCUUUAUUGGAAUAAAUUUUGUUUUUCUUUACAAA